GUUUAAUCUCAUCAUCUAGAUGAGCAAAUUACAUUUUGAAGCUAUCAAUAUGAAAUAAUAUUUUCCUUGGAAACAGAAAGUCUGGAGCAGGGGAGCAUGGUCGCACAGCCCUAGGAUUCUGACAACUUGUGAGGUGGGGGUAAAAGGAUUAGGAGCUCAGAUACAUAACGAGGUCAAGUUCAACCUGGGCUCAGGAAACCCUGUCAGUGCAAGCUACAUUCUCAUUGAUAUGAAAGCAAAGGGGUUUGCUUUAGCACACAGUUGAAGGACAUAGUCCCUAAUAGGGGGUGGGCACUGCAGUGUGAAUAUGAGGUAGCUGAUAACAUUGCUUCUGCAGUCAGGAAUCACAGUCACAUGAAUCCUUGUGUCCAGCUCAAUUUCUCUUUUUUGAUCCAGUACAGGACCUCAGACCGUGGAGUGGCAUUUCAGGGAAGUCUCACAGACAUUCUCAAGUGUUUGCUUCCAAGGUGGUUCUAGAAUCUAUCAAGUGAACAAUCAGUAUUAACCAUUGCAGCACCACAAACAAACAAACAAACCACUGUAUCUUAGAACAUCCAACAGUGAUUCCCACAUGCAGCCAGAGUUCAGAGCCACACUGAGAAAGGCAGUCUUGGGCAACACAGAUGUGCUCAGAUGAGCUCUGGGAGCCAAGACUGAGCAAGUAUUUUAGACAAGCACAGACUAAAGCACUGGGUGAAGGGCAGUGUCAACCCCCUCCAACACACCACCACCACCACCACCACCACCACCACUGAUAAACAGUUGUCCAGGAAAGGGCUGUGCCUGCAGCAGGCUGGAUGUUCGUACAGCAUUUUGAUUCACAAUAAAGCCCAACCGGUUUCCGAGUCAUUACCUGUCUACAAGAGUAUGCACGGCUGCUCCGCAGUGUUCUGUUGUCUUUAUUAUCUGCAUCCUGCAUCAAUCUCCAUUGGUGAUUCUUUAUUCUAAUACACUACUUGCUGUGGUAGCCCAUGCCUGGAACCCUACCACCCCAAAGGCUGAAGCAGGGUUGGGGUGGGUGCUUCAAGAACAAGAACAGGACCCUCUUAUCAAAAGCAGCCUGAUUCUGGCCUGAACCACCUCCUCUGUCCAGUUGCUAAGACUUUCAGCUUCCUGAAGUCAAAAUAGCAAACAUCAUUCCUGCCCCUUCCAGAAAACCUCAGUUCCAAGACCAAGACUUCCCAAGCCCCACAGAAACCCCAGCCUAUAAGAGAGGUUCGCUCUCUGGCUCACUGCUCUCCUGUCUUCUCUUGAUGAGAGCCCUUUUUGUGUUUAUCCCCAAAUAAACCUGUCCCCU
rnacentral:lncRNA from 1 species